GGAGAGGUGUCCGAGUGGCUUAAGGAGCACGCUUGGAAAGCGUGUGUACGGGAAACUGUACCGAGGGUUCGAAUCCCUCUCUCUCCGC
rnacentral:tRNA from 1 species